GAAAUGCGAUAAGUAGUGUGAAUUGCAGAAUUCAGUGAAUCAUCGAAUCUUUGAACGCACAUUGCGCCCUUUGGUAUUCCUUAGGGCAUGCCUGUUCGAGCGUCAUCUGACCCCUCAAGCACCGCUUGGUAUUGGGCGUUUGUCCCGCCUCGGGCGCGGACUCGCCUCAAAAACAUUGGCGGCCUGUGUCCUGGCUUCGAGCGCAGCAGACGCGCGCACCGUCCCCGGCACCGGCGUCCAGCAAGACGCACCCCACAAGUUUGACCUCGGAUCAGGUAGGGAUACCCGCUGAACUUAA
rnacentral:misc_RNA from 1 species